GAUGAACGCUGGCGGCGUGCCUAAUACAUGCAAGUCGAACGCUGGAGAUCUAGCUUGCUAGAUCGAAGGAGUGGCGAACGGGUGAGUAAUACAUAAGCAACCUACCCACGAAGACUGGGAUAAUCUCUGGAAACGGGGACUAAUACCGGAUAGGUAAUCGGAAGGCAUCUUCUGGUUAUUAAAGGUUACAAACACUGGUGGAUGGGCUUAUGGCGCAUUAGUUAGUUGGUGAGGUAACGGCCCACCAAGACGAUGAUGCGUAGCCGGCCUGAGAGGGUGAACGGCCACAUUGGGACUGAGACACGGCCCAGACUCCUACGGGAGGCAGCAGUAGGGAAUUUUCGGCAAUGGGGGCAACCCUGACCGAGCAACGCCGCGUGAGUGAAGACGGCCUUCGGGUUGUAAAGCUCUGUUGUAAGGGAAGAACGGUAGAUAGAGAAUAUCUAAGUGACGGUACCUUACCAGAAAGCCACGGCUAACUACGU
rnacentral:rRNA from 1 species